rnacentral:rRNA from 1 species
GACGAACGCUGGCGGCGUGCUUAACACAUGCAAGUCGAACGGAAAGGCCCUGCUUUUGUGGGGUGCUCGAGUGGCGAACGGGUGAGUAACACGUGAGUAACCUGCCCUUGACUUUGGGAUAACUUCAGGAAACUGGGGCUAAUACCGGAUAGGAGCUCCUGCUGCAUGGUGGGGGUUGGAAAGUUUCGGCGGUUGGGUAUGGACUCGCGGCUUAUCAGCUUGUUGGUGGGGUAGUGGCUUACCAAGGCUUUGACGGGUAGCCGGCCUGAGAGGGUGACCGGCCCGAUUGGGACUGGGAUACGGCCCAGACUCCUACGGGAGGCAGCAGUGGGGAAUAUUGCACAAUGGGCGGAAGCCUGAUGCAGCAACGCCGCGUGCGGGAUGACGGCCUUCGGGUUGUAAACCGCUUUCGCCUGUGACGAAGCGUGAGUGACGGUAAUGGGUAAAGAAGCACCGGCUAACUACGUG